rnacentral:lncRNA from 1 species
UUUCACUUGAAAAAGGCCUUAAGAUAUGCCUUAAAGAAAGAAAGAAAGAAAUGGUGAGGUGUCUUCCAGGCAGCACUAAGGAAAACAUAACAUGUUUGGAAAUGAUUUCUGCUUUGAUGAUUUUAUACAUACAUAAGCAUGAACACUGUGAAAUAUGUGUUGGUCUUUUGGGAAAGAGGUAGUUGCUGUUGGACCAAGAGGACACAGAUAUUAAGACUAUGGAAUGAGUGAGAAUUUGUCACUAGUUGACUUUUGGGAAGAGAACCAGUAGCUUUAUAUAUCUGCAUGGCUGAGGCAGCUGGAAGCGUGGGGCUCCUGACAUUCUGUGACACGAUUGCAUUCUAUUACCGUGGUUGCAACUGCCAACAUUUACCUGCUUUUCGUGGGUGGCCCUGCCUCUCAGUUCCUGCUGGAGUCUGAGCUACAGGCAGUGCCUUCAGCCCUGGUUCUUGAUCCUUGUUUUUAAGGUUAAGGAUUCUUGAGUGUUGUGGGUGUUGGUCAUCUUUAUCUCAACGGUAAAUUAUCUCUGGCUCUACCUCUUGCACCACGUACGUCAUCAUGGGAAUACCCAUCGACCCUUCUUGUCAUUCAAAGGCUGAAUUGAGUAUUUCAGAAACUGAACAGGAAUUGCGAUUACAGCUGGAGGAGAGUAAGGAGAAGUUUCAUGAACUCAAAGGACAUUUUCUUCUGUCUGAAGCUACUGUCUAUUCCAUGGCUAAUGAGCUAAAAAAACACAAUUGUCGAAAGUUCAAAGACAUUAUUGAGUCUGUUCUGGGCGAGAAGCUGCAGUACAAGGAAGAAAGUCUGGCUGAGAAGCUGAGCCUGGCCAAAAAUCAGAGGGAAUGCACUUUGCAAACUCAAGAUCAAGAUGGGAAGCUGUCCUUACUUCAGCAGAAAUUACAGCAGGGGAGACAUGCCUCAUUUCUCCUAUGUCAACAUCUCAAGGACAUCCUCACCCGGAAUGACCCUAAUACCAACCAGGGUCACUGCUUCCGUGAGCUACUGGCUGAAGGCGUCAGGCUGGCAGAGAACCUUGUGCAAUUGCUCAGUUCAGAUAAUCAUCAAGAUGAGGAGUGUAAAAAGGAACAUGAAUUACUGUCCCCCAGGAUGAACCCUGAGGGCGCAAACAAGGAAAAAAUUGAACAAAUACUGCAGGACUCACUGCUUGGAGACUUUACGCCUUCCUCCCAUGGCUGCAGCUUGUGUAACACCGAGGAGCCUCCUCGGACCACUGGCAAUCUGACAGAUGAACGUGAACUCUCCUUUUUCCUAGAAAAAAACUAUCCUCAGGAUGCUGAGAACCAAGACAAAGAGGCAGAGCCAGUGGAGCCCAGGUUUCUCCAAGAAAAGGAGGAUAAAAAUAAUGUACUGCAGGAGAAAAUGAAUGAGAACUUGUUGGCUAUUUCCCAUUGCCAGGACUUGUGUGUUUCCCACCAGCCUGGCAAGAGUCCAGCACCCGAGACUGAGGAGCAUGUAGCUCCCUCCAAUCUGAAUGUGACAAAAAACCAGGACAAUGAAGACAAUGAAAAAGAACAGGAAUUUCUGGCCCUCAGGCUGAGCACAGAGGGAAUGGAAAAGGAAAAAAUAACCGAACUCCUUCAAGAUUCAUUAGGUGAAGGCCCUAAGACACGCACCCGUCACUACAACUUACCUGACAACCAGGAGCCUUGCUGCACUGCAGCUGUGCUGGCAGAUGCACAUGAAGUCUCAUCAUCUCUGGAUGCAGCGCAAAAUACCCAUGAUUAUAAGGAUGAAGACCCACAACCAAAGGCCUCCAGGAAAUAUUUUGGCAUAAUUCAGGCUCAUGCCAAGAAGCUGUCCCAGCUACGAAAGCAGCUAAGUGAAGCGAAAGAUACCUCUUUGUCCCUUGGACAGCAUCUGGAAUUUCUACUCACCCAAGAUGACGCUGAAGGCUACCAGGUUCAGGGCCACAUACAACAACUGGCCCAGGGGUGCAAGAUGGCUGAGAAUCUUGUCCUGAAGCUCAGUGAAGGAAAUAAUGAACAGGGAAAUAAUGGAAAAGAAGAAAAAGAACUUCUUUCUAAAAUGGAUGAUGAGGAUGGGGAUUUCAAUUUUCUAAUUGAAGUUCAGGCUCAAGACCUGACUAAAUUUAGGCUGAAGUUGGAGGCAGGGAGAGAGACAGCCUUUAUGCUCCAUCAGACUCUCAGCAGUCUCUUCCCUGAAGAUGACCAACACGGACACCAGAUGCAGAGUCACAGAGACAGACUUGCUGAGGGGUGCAAGCUGGCCAAGUGCCUUGCAUGCAGACUUAGCUCAGAUAAUCUAGACGAGGAGAAUGAGGAUGAUCAAAUGAUCCUGGAUUCCAGUCUGUGCGAAGAGGAAGAAGGUGAACUUCUGCCACAUCCACUAGAUGAAAAGUACUUGCUCCCUACCUGUCAUCCUGAUGUGGCUGAGCCACAGGAAUGUGCAGGCGGCGAUGCCUCCCCAUCACAGAAGCCUGAACAGUACUCUGCUCUGGGUGGAUCCGCUACUAUGAAGGAGGCCUGUGCCCAAGGUCUGUCGAAUGGAGAAUUCAGCUCCCACUUCUCAGAGCUGCAAGCUUCCCAGGCACAGGUGGAAUCACGCAUCCAGGGGAACCCUCGUCUGGGAAUACAGCUGUGUCAGUACUUCGACUAUCCUGACUGCAAAGCCAGGCUGAGCCUUUCUUCUGCCACUUGGGGCUUUGCAGCAUCCACUCACUGUGGUAGCCAGUGCCAGCCCUUCCAAGAGCUGAAUUUGGAUGCUUCUUUUGGAAUCAAGGGUUCUCCCAAGCUGGAGGGUUAUGCCUUUGAAGGAUCAGCAGCUGUCAUUCGUGGGUUUCCGAUCCAUGGCCUCUGUGAUACUGACAGUGUCCUGAAGCAGAAGAUUAUGAAAACUAAACUCUGGCUGUGCAAGUGGAAAAGAGCUUGCAGAGUCCCAGGCCUUCAGCUGAAGAUGGGUAUUUCCCGUGGAAUGAAUAAUUAUUACAAGCUGGAAAGUGAUGCCUGUGCAGGCUCAGCUGCCAUCAUUCACAGGUUUCCAAUCCAUGACCUUUAUGAUGCUGACAGUGUCUCGAAAGAGAAGAUCACCAAGAAAGAACUACCAUUAUGCAAGUGGAAAAUAGCUUGCAGAUUUCCAGGACUUCAUGCUUAAGAGUGAAGAUACUGAGAAUGGCUGAAAGGAAGAAAAGACAUUGCUGAAGAAGAGAACUGAAACAUGAAGCCUAGUUUUUCCACUUCAUCAAAAAAAAUAGAAAACAGAAACUCAAUUUAAAGUCUGAAGAGAACACUGGAGUGAUUCCUUGUGAUCACUGAAUUUCAAAGCCCCUAAUUUCUCUUGAUGGUUUUCACUCCAACAGCCCAGUUGUAUUGGAUAAAUUCCAAUUCCUUGCCUCUGAUUUUGUGAAAUACCUGUGAAGAUUAAGACCUAAAUUUACAGAGCCAACAGAGAGACCUUAUUUCUGGUCCACUUAAUUCCCACUCUGCAUAAGACCAAAGGCAACAGCAGCUGGAUGAAGACAGCAAGGCCAGGUGGGCACUGCUUCCCACUGUGAUGCGUUAUGAGCGGGCAGUUGUAGCUAUGCAGUGUUUUCCUGAGGUGCUCAGCCUGGGUGUAACACAAGGAAACUGUCAGACAGAUGAAUAGUGUAGACCUAUGACCAGGAGAGCUGACAGCUUUUCCUCAGUCCAUGUCACCACAAGUACAGGACAAAAUGAAGAGGAGACACUUGCUUUUGAAAAACAUCCAUCACAUAUAUAUGUACAGUGGUACCUGGGUUCAUGAACUUAAUUCUCUCUCUGAUUCUGGUCACCAGCUGAAUUGGAUGAGGACCAAAUCAAAUUUCCUUAUAAGGUUAACAUUGAACCUGACUGCUGAAUUUGAUUUGGUUCUUGUCCAAUUCAGUUUGCAGCCAUAAUCGUGGAAAGAAUUAAGUUCAUGAACCGAGAUACCCCUGUAUAUCUUAUUUACUCAAAAAUAAAAUCUAGCCAGGAAGGAGUCAGCCUUGGGAACUAGAGAUCACAAAUGCCAGCCCCAAUCAGCUUAUCCUUGCCUUCGCUGCCUUCACUAUUCUCUUGCUCCAUGGCUGCUCCGGAAGGCAAGGAUAAGCUGAUUGGGCUGGCAGUUUUGAUCUCUAGUUUUCAAGGCUGAUUAUUUUCUGGCCAGGUCUUAUUUUCAGGGAGAAAAGGUAUGUUAGUGCUUUUGAAACGCAAACCUCUCCUCUCCUUUUUGUCCUCACAUUUGUAGGUGAAAUUGACUUGUGUGUAGAGGACAGGUCAGUUGUUGUCUGACUCCUGGCCUAUAUUUGGCUGCUGUGUGACUAUUUCUUCGGGAUUAAACUCAGCCUAAACAUAUAGCCAAAAACACCAGGCAGCAAGCACACAUAGUACCCCACACUUCCUGCCACUUUCUGCCUGCAGGCAGUGUCCACUUUGUAUAUCGCCCUUUACUUCCUGUUGGCUCUGGUCACCUGGCAAAGGAGGCAUCCUCUGGAGCUGUCCAGGGGGUAGACACAUUGUGCCCUCAAUAAUUCUGAAGCGGUUUCUAGGCAGCUAUUUUGAGAAAGUGAAAAACAUCUUAUUUUCCAGUGGUUUUUCUUUAAAAACGUUGCCAGCUUAUAUCGUCGCUACCUGCAUAAAUUGUUAUACCUGGACAUAUCCUGGCCAUUGGGUAAUUCAGUGUUUCCUGUUUAUCAGUUUUCUGGCAUUCUGAUAAAAAACCCCACCGUCUCCUUGAGUUUUAAUUUUAAUCCAAAGCUGAUAUUCACAUCAAUAAUUAAAACAUUUUUGUUUUUCAGUAUGGACUCAUGGAUGUUUUUAUAUUCAAUGUUAUAACAUUUUAUUACUACUAUCAAUUUGAUGAAUAAGGGUAAAAAUCAAUAUAAACUCUGUCAUUUUACUACUUGGAGUCUACAUUCUUCCAUAUCUUUUAAAUUGCAUUUAUUAUAUGUGAUAGAUUAUAUUACUUGUAGUUCUGUCUUUUUGUUAUUUGUGUGUGUUCUGUUUGGCAUUUAGGAAAUAUUGUUUAGCUCAUUUUUAACAUUAGUGUAAAAUAUCUUUGACAAUUUUAGUUUCCUUUACCUGGAAAAUAUCUAAUAUGUGGCUUAUGAAUUUGACAUGAUAUUUUUCAAACUCAAAGGUUGAUGGUCAGUGACGUUAUUCAUUAUCUUCAUUUCUACUCACUAUAUCUGCCACUAGAGUGUCAUUUCACCCAUUCAAAUAUAUUCCAAGUACAUUUUUCC